rnacentral:misc_RNA from 1 species
CAGGAUAUGUGUUUACUUUUGCAGGGGGAGCUGUGUCAAGGCAGUCGAAAUUGUAGAAGUGUUGCAUUGUCUAAAACUGAAGCAGAGUAUAUUGCAGUAGCUGAAGCUGUCAAGAAAUUACUGUGGUUGAAAAGAUUUCUCCAAGAGCUGGGUUUGAAGCAGCAUGAGUAUGUGGUUAACUGUGACAGUCAGAGUGCUUUAGAUUUAAGCAAGAAUGCCACAUACCAUUUUCGUAACAAACAUAUUGAUGUGAGAUACCAUUGGCUUCGUGAUGUGAUGAAUGCAAAAGAAAUUUUGUUGAAGAAGAUUCACACUGAUAAGAAUUCAGCUGACAUGUUAACUAAGGUGGUGACUCGAGACAAGCAUCAGUUCUGUGCCAAGAUCAUAGGACUGAGUUCCAUGUAAUUUGUUAAGGAACAAAACACCUUCCCCAUAAGCUGGAGGGGGAG